rnacentral:rRNA from 1 species
AUUGAACGCUGGCGGCAGGCCUAACACAUGCAAGUCGAACGAGUGGCGGACGGGUGAGUAAUGUCUGGGAAACUGCCCGAUGGAGGGGGCUAACUACUGGAAACGGUAGCUAAUACCGCAUACCAUCGGAUGUGCCCAGAUGGGAUUAGCUAGUAGGUGGGGUAACGGCUCACCUAGGCGACGAUCCCUAGCUGGUCUGAGAGGAUGCCCAGCCACAUGAGACUUGAAACACGGUCCAUACUCCUACGGGAGGCAACAGUGGGAAAUAUUGCACAUUGGGCGCAAGCCUGAUGCAGCCAUGCCGCGUGUAUGAAGAAGGCCUUCGGGUUGUAAAGUACGUUCAGCGAGGAGGCGUUACUCGCAGAAGAAGCACCGGCUAACUCCGUGCCAGCAGCCGCGGUAAUUC